UACAGAGGGUGCAAGCGUUAAUCGGAAUUACUGGGCGUAAAGCGCACGUAGGUGGUUAGAUAAGUCAGAUGUGAAAUCCCUGGGCUCAACCUAGGAAUUGCAUUUGAUACUGUUUAGCUAGAGUAUGGGAGAGGGAAGUGGAAUUUCUGGUGUAGCGGUGAAAUGCGUAGAUAUCAGAAGGAACAUCAGUGGCGAAGGCGACUUCCUGGACUAAUACUGACACUGAGGUGCGAAAGCGUGGGGAGCAAACAGG
rnacentral:rRNA from 1 species